rnacentral:lncRNA from 1 species
AAACAUCAGCGAAUUCACAAUGGAGAAAGGCCUUAUGAGUGCAGAGAAUGUGGAAAGUUUUUCAGGUACAACUCCACACUCAUUAAGCACCAGAGAGUUCACACUGGAGAAAGGCCUUAUGAGUGCAGUGAAUGUGGGAAAUUCUUUCGACUCAUCAUACAUAAGUGCAGUGACUGUGGGAAAUUCUUUCAGUAUAGCUCCAACCUUGUUACACACUGGAGAAAUCACACUGGAGAGAGGCCUUAUGAGUGCAGUGAAUGUGGGAAAGCCUUUAGCCACAAGAGUAUACUUGUUCAACAUCAGAAAACCCAUAUUCAAGAAAGGCCUCAUGAGUGCAGUAAAGGUUAGAAGGCCUUCACUAGGAAAUUCCACCUCAUUCAUUACCAGAAAGUCCACAAUGAAGAUGAAGUGGGUGCCUUUAAUGUGGAGAAUUCUUCAAAUACAACUCAACCUUAUUAAACAGAGUUCACAGUCAUAAAAACCUUACCAGUUCAGAGAAUGUGGUAAAUUCUUUAGGUACUACCCCAAACUCCCUACACUGGAGAAGCAACUUAUCAGCUGAUAUUGGCGUGGGUCUUAUGAGUAUAGAAAAUAUUAGAAACUGUUGGUACAGCUCCCCCCUCAUAGUAUACCAAGAGUUCACACUGAAGGAACGCCUUCUGAGUGCAGUGAAUGUAGCUGAAUCUUUACGUGCAACUUUAGCCCCAGUAUACAUCAGAGAUUUCAUGGUGGAGAAAGACCUUAGAAGUGCAGUGAAUAUGGGCUUAUGUACAAGCACUACUUCCACAUCACUCAGCAUCAAAAAGUUCACACCAGAGGGAGAAGUGCAAAUGGGGAAAGACUUCACAAAACGCCUGCUCCAAUCCUUAAGAACUAAUCCUUUUUUAAAUAAAUAUGCUUGGUUUUUUUUUUUGUUUGUUUUGUUUGUUUUGUCUUUUUAUGACCGCUCCCAAGGCAUAUGGAGGUUCCCAGGCUAGGGGUCUAAUCGGAGCUGUAGCUGCUGGCCUACACCACAACCACAGCAAUGCCAGAUCUGAGCCACGUCUAUGACCUACACCACAGCCCCAGCAAUGCCAGAUCCGAGCCACAUCUGUGACCUACACCACAGCUCAUGGCAGUGCCGGAUCCUUAACCCACUGAGCAAGGACAGGGAUUGAACCCGUAGCCUCAUGGUUCCUAGUUGGAUUCGUUUCCACUGCACCACA